AGAGUUUGAUCCUGGCUCAGGACGAACGCUGGCGGCGUGCCUAAUACAUGCAAGUAGAACGCUGAAGAGAGGAGCUUGCUCUUCUUGGAUGAGUUGCGAACGGGUGAGUAACGCGUAGGUAACCUGCCUUGUAGCGGGGGAUAACUAUUGGAAACGAUAGCUAAUACCGCAUAACAAUGGAUGACCCAUGUCAUUUAUUUGAAAGGGGCAAAUGCUCCACUACAAGAUGGACCUGCGUUGUAUUAGCUAGUAGGUGAGGUAACGGCUCACCUAGGCGACGAUACAUAGCCGACCUGAGAGGGUGAUCGGCCACACUGGGACUGAGACACGGCCCAGACUCCUACGGGAGGCAGCAGUAGGGAAUCUUCGGCAAUGGGGGCAACCCUGACCGAGCAACGCCGCGUGAGUGAAGAAGGUUUUCGGAUCGUAAAGCUCUGUUGUAAGUCAAGAACGAGUGUGAGAGUGGAAAGUUCACACUGUGACGGUAGCUUACCAGAAAGGGACGGCUAACUACGUGCCAGCAGCCGCGGUAAUACGUAGGUCCCGAGCGUUGUCCGGAUUUAUUGGGCGUAAAGCGAGCGCAGGCGGUUUGAUAAGUCUGAAGUUAAAGGCUGUGGCUCAACCAUAGUUCGCUUUGGAAACUGUCAAACUUGAGUGCAGAAGGGGAGAGUGGAAUUCCAUGUGUAGCGGUGAAAUGCGUAGAUAUAUGGAGGAACACCGGUGGCGAAAGCGGCUCUCUGGUCUGUAACUGACGCUGAGGCUCGAAAGCGUGGGGAGCGAACAGGAUUAGAUACCCUGGUAGUCCACGCCGUAAACGAUGAGUGCUAGGUGUUGGAUCCUUUCCGGGAUUCAGUGCCGCAGCUAACACAUUAAGCACUCCGCCUGGGGAGUACGACCGCAAGGUUGAAACUCAAAGGAAUUGACGGGGGCCCGCACAAGCGGUGGAGCAUGUGGUUUAAUUCGAAGCAACGCGAAGAACCUUACCAGGUCUUGACAUCCCGAUGCUAUUUCUAGAGAUAGAAAGUUACUUCGGUACAUCGGUGACAGGUGGUGCAUGGUUGUCGUCAGCUCGUGUCGUGAGAUGUUGGGUUAAGUCCCGCAACGAGCGCAACCCCUAUUGUUAGUUGCCAUCAUUCAGUUGGGCACUCUAGCGAGACUGCCGGUAAUAAACCGGAGGAAGGUGGGGAUGACGUCAAAUCAUCAUGCCCCUUAUGACCUGGGCUACACACGUGCUACAAUGGUUGGUACAACGAGUUGCGAGUCGGUGACGGCAAGCUAAUCUCUUAAAGCCAAUCUCAGUUCGGAUUGUAGGCUGCAACUCGCCUACAUGAAGUCGGAAUCGCUAGUAAUCGCGGAUCAGCACGCCGCGGUGAAUACGUUCCCGGGCCUUGUACACACCGCCCGUCACACCACGAGAGUUUGUAACACCCGAAGUCGGUGAGGUAACCUUUUGGAGCCAGCCGCCUAAGGUGGGAUAGAUGAUUGGGGUGAAGUCGUAACAAGGUA
rnacentral:rRNA from 1 species